rnacentral:rRNA from 1 species
GACGGAGGAGGCAAGCGUUAUCCGGAAUUAUUGGGCGUAAAGCGUCCGCAGGUGGCUUUCCAAGUCUGCUGUCAAAGCCCGAGGCUUAACCUCGGACCGGCGGUGGAAACUGGAUCGCUAGAGUACGUCAGGGGUAGGGGGAAUUCCCGGGGUAGCGGUGAAAUGCGUAGAUAUCGGGAAGAACACCAGCGACGAAAGUUCCCUACUGGGACGUUACUGACACUCAUGGACGAAAGCUAGGGGAGCGAAAGGG